rnacentral:lncRNA from 1 species
UGGUUAUCUUUUCUAAUGAUAUUAGUAGCAAAAAAAGAAAUUCUGAUGAAGUCCAAUUUAUCUGCUCUUUUUCUCCCAUUUCUUGUGCUUUUGGUGUCAUAUCAAAGAGACCAUUGCCUAAUGGUUCUCGAAGACUCACACCUAUGUUUUCUUCUAAGAGUUUUAUAGUUUUUGCUUUGACAUUUUGGUGUUAAUUUUUCUAUAUAGUGUAAGAUAAGGGUCUGCCUUCAUUCUUUUUCAUGUGAAUGUCCAGCUGUGCCAGUACCAUUUGUUGAAAGAUUAUUCUUUCCCCCCAUUGUCUGGCAUUCUUGUAGAUAGCUUCUCUUCUCUGUGCCUUCUUUCCUGGAGGAAUCUUACUAGCUUCUAUUCCCAUUGGGCCACUAACUCAGAAAUCUGUCCCUCUAGCCUAGACUUUUCUUUGGAGCUCCUCAGUCAUAUAGGACUUGACAUCCAUAUAAGUGAUAUCUUCACUUCAAUAUAUCUCCCACUUGUUCAAAACUGAGCUUGUGGUUCUUUCCUCCAAACAUGCUCCUCUUCCAGGUGUUGUCCCCUGUUGUAUCUCAGCAAGAUGGCCCAGUACCCUACUCCCUUAAGCCAGGCAUCUUCUAGAGUCAUACUUAACACUCUCUCCGUUCCGCCCCACAUCCAACUGAUCACUGAGUCGGGUAGAUUCCAUUUGGAAAUAAUCUCCUUAAUCCAUCCUGGCCCUCCAUCCCCACUGCUACCCAGUCCUAGACAUCAUCUGUCUGCUGUUAGGCUACAGGCUCCUAACUGAUUUGUCUCCAUGGGAACAAAGGAUGAGAGAGUUACACAGUGGAUCCCACGUGUUUAUCACCUGGCUACAGUAACCUGCAACGUAAGGUCAUCUCUGUUUUAUCAGCAUUCACCAC